UGCCCGAUAGUGUAAUGGUAGCACGAGAGAUUCUGAUUCUCUUUGUCAUGGUUCAAAUCCAUGUCGGGCAGCCA
rnacentral:tRNA from 1 species